rnacentral:rRNA from 1 species
UACGAAGGUGGCGAGCGUUGUUCGGAAUUACUGGGCUUAAAGGGCGCGUAGGCGGAACAGUAAGCGUUUUGUGAAAUCCCCCGGCUUAACCGGGGAAUUGCUUGAUGAACUGCUGUUCUUGAGGCAAGUAGGGGUGCAUGGAACUCUUGGUGGAGCGGUGGAAUGCGUAGAUAUCAAGAGGAACGCCUGUGGAGAAAUCGGUGCACUGGGCUUGUUCUGACGCUGAGGCGCGAAAGCGUGGGGAGCAAACGGG